rnacentral:rRNA from 1 species
AGUGAACGCUGGCGGCAGGCCUAACACAUGCAAGUCGAGCGGCAGCGCGUCCGACCACCCUCGGGUGGUCGGAUGGCGGCGAGCGGCGGACGGGUGAGGAAUGCAUCGGAAUCUGCCUCGUUGUGGGGGAUAACGUAGGGAAACUUACGCUAAUACCGCAUACGACCUACGGGUGAAAGUGGGGGACCUUCGGGCCUCACGCGAUGAGAUGAGCCGAUGCCGGAUUAGCUAGUUGGCGGGGUAAAGGCCCACCAAGGCGACGAUCCGUAGCUGGUCUGAGAGGAUGAUCAGCCACACUGGGACUGAGACACGGCCCAGACUCCUACGGGAGGCAGCAGUGGGGAAUAUUGGACAAUGGGGGAAACCCUGAUCCAGCUACGCCGCGUGGGUGAUGAAGGCCUUCGGGUUGUAAAGCCUGUCGAGGGGGACGAAGUUCUGACGGUACCCUCAAGAAAGCACCGGCUAACUCCGUGCCAGCAGCCGCGGU